rnacentral:lncRNA from 1 species
UGGGCGAGUCAUUUAACUCCAAUUGCCUAUUCCUUACCACUCUUCUGCCUUGGAAAUGAUACUGUUUAUGACUUCUAAGACAAAAGGUAAGACUUUUAAAAAAAGAAAAGAGUCAGACAUGGCUGACUAAGCAGGUAAUAUGUAAAAUUUAAUUUGACCGGGCCCAAGUUUACUCAACUCUAAAAAGAAAGAAUUGGACAUAUAAAAAGUACAAAAUAAAUUGUUGUUUGAAUUGAAAUGUGUUUGUGGAAUUGUAUAGAUUCUAUCUCAAGUCCAUUCUCAGUCUAAAUCCUGUGGCAGAAGAUACAAAUUGCUAAAAGAGAUCAGAAUGAGAAAUCACUUCUCUCUGGAUGUAUCAGAGAAGUCUACCUAGCGGAGGUGACAUUUGAUGUAUGGGAAAGUCUGGAUCAAGAUGUGGUAUUCCCACUUUGAAGUCGACGGUCAUGCUCGGCUGCCAUAUGAGCUCUUUGGCUGCCAUCAAGUCUGUUGUCGUGGGAGACCAGGUUGGAGGUAACCAUGGAACUUCGUGGAGUUGAAAGGAAUUUCAAGCAUCAGUUGGUUCAAAAGUUUCAAACUUACAGGCCACUGGCAACAACCAACAGACACAAAUUAAAAUGUAAUUGGGAAAUGUGAUGCAAAAUAAAUAAAAUUAAAA